CAGAUUCAAUGAUAGACUGCACUACGGGAGCACACCUGUCAGGUAGCAGGUGCUUGUUAAGAUGAGAAAAUUGAGGUGUGGAAAGGAUAACUUGCUCAUGACAACCCAGCCACUAAGGCAGUGAGACUCCAUAUUCUGUGUUCUUCCUCCCCAUUUAAAAUCCAUGAAAACAACCAUAGUUUUGUCUUCAUUGCAACGAAGACUUGUGAUACUUGCCCCAUCAGCUUUGCUUAAAUAUGAGUUCUGAGUUCUUUUGUUGAUUGUCACUAGGGCUUUACUGCUCUGAAUUGACAUUUUGUUUGUUUGUUUGUUUAGAUAAAAAGACAGAGACAGAGGGAGAAAAAGAGGGAGUGAGAGACAUCACAGCACCAAAGUUUAUCCUGAAGUAGUGGUGGUUCAACUUGAACAUAAGUUGCAGAUAGGACAAAGCAGGCACUUUCCCAGCCUGUUAGAGUUUUGUACUGUUGUGUCUCGGUCCCAAGUUGAAGAAGUGUUUGUGUGUGUGUGUGUUAAAACUUCCAAGUUCUUCAAGUCUAGGUAUACGUAUCUUUAUACCCCUGUUUACUAGAAAUGUCCCACAAACAUUUCCAAUUCUACAUACCUAAAACUGGACUCAUUCUCCAGGAUCUUGAGGAGUUGUUACUAUGUGCCUCAAUUUCCUCAUUUUAAAAAUGCAAGUGUCUUAUGUCUGGUUAUUGCUGGAUUAAAGGAGAUAAUAUUGAUAUGAUGCUUGCUGCAAUGCCUGUUACGUAGUAAGCACUAAAUAAAUGUGCCCCUUGCUCUUAUUGUCACCGUGGGCACAGGGAACAGGCAGUCCUCCAGGCUUGAGGAAAACAGAAGGGUCUCAGCUGGGCAUCCUGGCUUCACUCGCCCAAGCGGUUAACAUUUCUACAGUGGCUUUGGUUUGGCUGUUACUGAAAGAGAGAGUGGGCAGAAGGAUGCAGAGGGGCGGGGGGCGAACAGAUAUAUACAAAGGAGUGAAUUAUAACAAAGAGCUUUUUCUGCUUCAGUUCUUGUGUAGAAAACAUAUGUUCAGUGAUGCAGGCAGCAGUUGGGUUAAAGACACACUGUAGGGCUGCAGACAAAAGGUCUGCACUCUUCUUGCAUUCACAAUGUUUCCAAACAUAUUCACUUGUCUCACUUGUUAGGGCCCGAGCUGUCAGCUGGAUCCUCUUCAAGUGUGAUUUCUUUUUCGAGUUCCCUUUCAAAGGCCUCCCCUGCCCCCCUUCUCCUCUCCCCCAGUGUUUUACACUUCAUAUAAUCCAGUGUGCUUUACGGACCUCGUCAGGCUGGGGGGAGGAGGGAAUUCAUCUGAUGGAGAUCUUGGGUAACUUUUCACUUGCCCAGUGAUCAGAAGGUGCUAAGCCACUUUUAGGCCAAACAUCAUCAGUAGCUUAAUUAUUUAGUGCUCGGUGUAGCUAGCCAAUUCUUCACCUUCAAUUUACAGGCAAGCAAAUAGAUUAAUGCAGUGAAAUGCUUAGAAGGGGUGACUAGGAAUGGGGGCAGCGCAUAUGUUGUAGCAGCGUUGGGACCAUUCUUGCUUUUAUUUGCAGAGUGAAUAAUUUUAGAUAGAAAGAAAAAGCACUUCUGAAAUAAUUAGAGAGAAGUCAGCUAGCAUGCUAGCAUGCAUUAUGUAAACUGUAUACUUGCCUGUACUUAAUCUAAAUUCAGGGAGUAUUGCAAUGAGCAAAAUGGUUUAAACCUUUUAAUUUAUUGAAGGUUUUACUGCUUUGGUGGACCUAUUUCCAUUAAUGAGUCUUUAGAAAGAACUUUUACUUUUCUGUAUAUAGUAUUUUAUCUUAUGCGAAAAUUCAUAAUUCAUAUUAUAUGUAUAUUGCUUUUAUUUAUGUAAUAUGAACUGAUUACACAAUGCUAGUAGAGUUUCCACUACAAUGAUGAAUGGGCUAGAAAUAUAAAGAGUUAAGGUAUUAGUGUUUCUGUCACUGGUGCAUAUUACCCUUGAACAUUUUUUUCUUCCUAAUCACAGUUUUUCCAUCUGCAAAAUGGUAAUUACAUUAUCACUGUACCAUAUAGAAUAUAUCAUAAUGAAAAAGAAGUAUCUGUAACAUGAUAAUAAAAAUACUCUGUUGCCUUUGCAGAAA